CCUACGGGAGGCAGCAGUGGGGAAUAUUGCGCAAUGGGCGCAAGCCUGACGCAGCGACGCCGCGUGAGGGAUGAAGGUCUUCGGAUCGUAAACCUCUGUCAGCAGGGAGGAACGGGCACUGUUCUAAUCAGCAGUUAAUUGACGGUACCUGCAAAGGAAGCACCGGCUAACUCCGUGCCAGCAGCCGCGGUAAUACGGAGGGUGCGAGCGUUAAUCGGAAUUACUGGGCGUAAAGCGCACGUAGGCGGUCUGUCAAGUCAAGUGUGAAAUCCCCGGGCUCAACGUGGGAACUGCAUUUGAAACUGGCAAACUAGAGUGUGGUAGAGGAGAGUAGAAUUCCAGGUGUAGGAGUGAAAUCCGUAGAGAUCUGGAGGAACAUCAGUGGCGAAGGCGACUAUCUGGAAAAUAACUGACGCUGAGGUGCGAAAGCGUGGGUAGCAAACAGGAUUAGAUACCCUUGUAGUC
rnacentral:rRNA from 1 species